rnacentral:rRNA from 1 species
UGGGGGAUAGCUCGGGGAAACUCGAAUUAAUACCGCAUACGACCUACGGGUGAAAGGGGGCGCAAGCUCUUGCUAUUAGAUGAGCCUAAAUCAGAUUAGCUAGUUGGUGGGGUAAAGGCCCACCAAGGCGACGAUCUGUAACUGGUCUGAGAGGAUGAUCAGUCACACCGGAACUGAGACACGGUCCGGACUCCUACGGGAGGCAGCAGUGGGGAAUAUUGGACAAUGGGGGCAACCCUGAUCCAGCCAUGCCGCGUGUGUGAAGAAGGCCUUUUGGUUGUAAAGCACUUUAAGCAGGGAGGAGAGGCUAAUGGUUAAUACCCAUUAGAUUAGACGUUACCUGCAGAAUAAGCACCGGCUAACUCUGUGCCAGCAGCCGCGGUAAUACAGAGGGUGCGAGCGUUAAUCGGAAUUACUGGGCGUAAAGCGAGUGUAGGUGGCUCAUUAAGUCACAUGUGAAAUCCCCGGGCUUAACCUGGGAACUGCAUGUGAUACUGGUGGUGCUAGAAUAUGUGAGAGGGA